rnacentral:rRNA from 1 species
AACAACUNUCUUGCAGAAUUCCGCGAAUCAUCGAGUCUUUGAACGCAAGUUGCGCCCGAGGCUUGACCAAGGGCAUUUCUGCCAGAGCGUCACC